rnacentral:tRNA from 1 species
AGCGGCGUGGCCUACUGGAAAGGGCACGGGCCUGGAAGUCAGAAGGACCUGGGUUCUAAUCCCAGCUCUGCCA